rnacentral:rRNA from 1 species
GACGAACCGUGCGAACGUUGUUCGGAAUCACUGGGCUUAAAGGGCGCGUAGGCGGCUCAUCAAGUCGGGGGUGAAAUACUUCAGCUUAACUGGAGAAGUGCCUUCGAUACUGGUGAGCUCGAGGGAGGUAGGGGUCUUUGGAACUUCUGGUGGAGCGGUGAAAUGCGUUGAUAUCCACAGGAACUCCGGUGGCGAAGGCGGCACGCUGGACCCCCCACUGACGCUGAGGCGCGAAAGCCAGGGGAGCAAACGGGG